GUAAACCCAGAGAAGUUCCCUAGUCUCUCUGGGUCUCUAUCUCCUCAUCUGCAAACGGGGACAGUACCUACAUACACCCUACAGAUGAGAAACUGGGGUGUGGUUGGGCCAAAUGAGUCGACCAAAGUGACAGGUGGUCGAUGGCAGAAAUGUGCUCAGAAACUCCCGGAAACCCCAGGCUGGGCUCUUGUCAGUCUGACUGCCUGGCCCUACCCGAAGUCACCCAAAAGGUCUCAAGCGAGUUGACAGGAUCCAGAGAUAGCCACCUGAUGAAACCGCCGUCAGUGUGUGAUUAUCGAAGAUUCAAAAACUAAGGAGCGCAAAAUGGUUAUCAUCCUUUCCAGCGAUCAAGGAUCUGCUGGCCUCCUCCUUGCUUGUCCCCAACCAGAGCCAGCGACAGCAUCCGCCAUGCGUCACACGACCCCAUGAAGUACGCACCUGCCUUCAUGUCUAUACCUCAUUAACGUAACCGAUGAUGAGAAAGAAUGACAUGGUACCCAAAGCCCGUAUUAGCACAAGCCAACUCCCAAAACAUCCCUUUGUGAGCUGGGCAGCUUUGUUCACUACAUGAUUCCACGCUACAGGUGCGUUUCAUGAUUCUUUCUCCAGUGCUCAUGAUCCAUUUAAUUGAAAAUAAUUCUUCCCAGGUAGAACCUGCUAGAAAUUUUACACAAACCCAGGACACAGCAUGAAGUCAGAUUGGAUAAUCAAACUCAGACAUUA